GAUGAACGCUGGCGGCAUGCCUAAUACAUGCAAGUCGUGCGAGAAGCUAUCUUCGGAUAGCGGACAGCGGCGGACGGGUGAGUAACACGUAGAAAUAUACCCCAAGGUGAGGGAUAAGCAUCGGAAACGGUGUCUAAUACCGCAUAUUAUCUAAGGAUAAAAGAUUUAUCGCCAUGGGAAUAGUCUGCGUCUGAUUAGCUAGUUGGUAGGGUAAAGGCCUACCAAGGCGAUGAUCGGUAGCUGGUUUGAGAGGAUGAUCAGCCACACUGGGACUGAGACACGGCCCAGACUCCUACGGGAGGCAGCAGUAGGGAAUUUUCCACAAUGGACGAAAGUCUGAUGGAGCAAUGCCGCGUGCAGGAUGAAGGUCUUCGGAUUGUAAACUGCUUUUAUAGUUGAAGAUUAUGACGUAAGCUAUGAAUAAGGACCGGCUAACUACGUG
rnacentral:rRNA from 1 species